GCAUAUCAAUAAGCGGAGGAAAAGAAACCAACAGGGAUUGCCCCAGUAACGGCGAGUGAAGCGGCAACAGCUCAAAUUUGAAAUCUGGCUUCGGCCCGAGUUGUAAUUUGUAGAGGAUGCUUUAGGCGCGGCUCCUUCUGAGUGCCCUGGAACGGGACGCCACAGAGGGUGAGAGCCCCGUAUAGUUGGAAGCCUAGCCUGUGUAAAGCUCCUUCGACGAGUCGAGUAGUUUGGGAAUGCUGCUCAAAAUGGGAGGUAAAUUUCUUCUAAAGCUAAAUACCGGCCAGAGACCGAUAGCGCACAAGUAGAGUGAUCGAAAGAUGAAAAGCACUUUGAAAAGAGGGUUAAAUAGCACGUGAAAUUGUUGAAAGGGAAGCGCUUGUGACCAGACUUGCGCCGGGCUGAUCAUCCGGAGUUCUCUCCGGUGCACUCUGCCCGGCUCAGGCCAGCAUCGGUUCUCGCGGGGGGAUAAAGGCCUCGGGAACGUAGCUCCUCCGGGAGUGUUAUAGCCCGGGGCGUAAUGCCCUCGCGGGGACCGAGGUUCGCGCAUCUGCAAGGAUG
rnacentral:rRNA from 1 species